rnacentral:tRNA from 1 species
GCCUCUGUAGCUCAGUUGGUUAGAGCGCUACACCGGAAUCGCAGGGCCGUAGGUUCAAUUCCUACCAGAGGAC